rnacentral:sRNA from 1 species
AAUGAAAUUUUUGCACCAAGAAGUAGAGAGAAUUAUGAGAAAAGAAGAAAUUAGGAAGUUUUUGGAGUAGGAAGAAAUUUUAGAGUAGAGGUUCUGAAGAGUUUUCGGGGAAACAAAUUCGGAGUAAGAAAAGUCUGGAAUAGAGAUGCUGGAACAACGUCUGAACCAAUACAAGUGAAGGAGGAAGCAACAGAAAAAUGAAGAGUAGUUUAAAGAAAUAAAUAAUUAAAUUUAGGAGUGUUGUAAUGAUGUUUUAAAAAAAAAAUAAUGUAUUUCCAGUGUGAACUAUGCUACUCCUAAAUGGAGGAUUGUAAUUUUGUACAAUGUUUUCAUUAUUAAUGAAAUAAAUUGUGUGUGAGAUGUUUAGAAAAAAAUAA